rnacentral:lncRNA from 1 species
UCCCACCCAGUCACACUGGGAGAAAUCCGCUCAGCAUAGCUGUGCAGGGAAGGCCUCAGGAACCUCAGGGAAGCUGGAGCAAUGGAACUCUUGUUCAAACAAACCAGUACGAUAUUUAAGACAGAGAAAAAGGAGGCUGCUCCAGCAAAAGAAGGGGAGAAAAAGAUUUCUGCCUACCUCAUGGAAUUGCUGUGAAGUUUUUGUACAUGCAGUGCUUUGAAGAGUACCUGGCAAAUAAUAAAUGCUAU